AUUGAACGCUGGCGGCAAGCUUAACACAUGCAAGUCGAGCGGGGUGAUGGUGCUUGCACUAUCACUUAGCGACGGACGGGUGAGUAAUGCUUAGGAAUCUGCCUAUUAGUGGGGGACAACAUCUCGAAAGGGAUGCUAAUACCGCAUACGUCCUACGGGAGAAAGCAGGGGAUCACUUGUGACCUUGCGCUAAUAGAUGAGCCUAAGUCGGAUUAGCUAGUUGGUGGGGUAAAGGCCUACCAAGGCGACGAUCUGUAGCGGGUCUGAGAGGAUGAUCCGCCACACUGGGACUGAGGCACGGCCCAGACUCCUACGGGAGGCAGCAGUGGGGAAUAUUGGACAAUGGGGGGAACCCUGAUCCAGCCAUGCCGCGUGUGUGAAGAAGGCCUUAUGGUUGUAAAGCACUUUAAGCGAGGAGGAGGCUCUUUUGGUUAAUACCCAAGAUGAGUGGACGUUACUCGCAGAAUAAGCACCGGCUAACUCUGUGCCAGCCGCCGCGGUAA
rnacentral:rRNA from 1 species